UUGAAAUGCUGACAGACCAAUAUUAAGGCGGUUCUGGAAAUCUUUCAGUAUAUUGCCGCUGUAAACAUCAGUCAUUCUUCCCUUUCCCUGUUGACUAAUGAUAGUGGAAUCUGGAUGGUUAGAGAUUCGUGAACAUAAAACCACGUCAAUCGUGAUGGCUGAAAACGUGGUCUAUCCUGCAAUAUUCCCGAUUGGUUGAGACAAGUUCUUUUUUUUAAAUUGAGUUGCUGUUGAUAGGACUGACGGUGGUAGCGGCCCUCCUUUUGAGGUGCAGUCUCCGACUCGCUGAAUGCACGGUUUUUUUUCUUGGUGCCGUUUAUUUUCUUUCCAUUUUGAAACUCUGUUUCUUGCUAGACUCCAUCUUGUGGAUUGUUGUUGAACACUUGGUAUAGCAACAGUAAGUGUACACACCAUGAGUACAGUCGAGUCAAGUCAACAGCUCACCGCCCCGGGAGCCCAGUGCCAACUACUUGAAGAACAACGCGAAGCUUUGGCUGCCAGAGGCUAACAACAAAAAUUUCAGAUUAACGGAGAACCAGGAAGGAUAUCCACGCAGUUUUAAACUGUUAGACAUCCACCUGGUUGAAAAUCCCAGCAUCGUUUCCUUCAUCGAUGUUCCUUUUAUAUUCUAAUUUAGUUUAACCCAGAUGAUCGAACAUGGGCUGCUGUUAAAUAUGACAUUUUUUGUAACUUUCCGAUCCAGCAAAAUCGGUUGUUUUGUUAUUUGUCCCAUUAAUUAGAAUUUUGCAAUAAUUUGUGACCCAAUCGUUAAAUUCUUACAAUACUAUUGCAACAAUCACACCGUGCCAGCCCAUUCGCUGAAUUGCCUUUCUAUUUAAUCACAAUCCUUUAUUUAGAUCAGUACUACCUGAAAGCGUGGGAUAAUUAGUUAUGCAUUAGAUUGCAUGUUGAGGUAACGCGACAGUGAAGAGUGAAAUGACAUGUAAACCGAAAACAGGAAUUAAAGGAGAGAAAGGGACGAGGGGUAUGAACUAAGAGGGGUAUGAUCAGACUUCCAUCUCUAAGCUUUAAAAGCAUUUUUGAGUAAACCCAUUCUGACGAAUGAAAUACAUUCGGGUGACGGCUACAAACUUUGUUGCAAGGUUUCCAGACCCAGCAUUCCCGUCCCAAAACAACUGUGCACUUGCUUAAUUUCACAUACAGUUUAAAGAGAAAAAUGUAGCGUUCAAAAUGUCAAACAAGAAACAAACGUCUGCAUUUAACUUUUACGAGGUUUCUAUAUUGACCCGAAUUUUAAGGUUUUAAUGACAGCGAAACUAUCAGCGUUUGCCAUCCUUUGAAACUGACAGCAAGACCGUGUAUCUUGUUAAACACAGACUGGUGUCAGUGAUUCAAUGCUUCACCCUGAGGUGUGCUAUUGAAGUGCCGCCCCCAUUGCAAUCAAAUCGAUGAAUUAACAAGAACUGGCCUUUCCGCUAUUACACAGCUGUAAAACCCGUCAGUAAUGCGGUAUUUUUUGAAGGAGGUAUAACUCAAUUUUUGGUGUUAUACUGAGUUCAUAUUUACUGCUAAACAGCAUAAUUAGACCUGAAGACUUAAUUUUAUCUUUGAGUAUUGCUGAAGAAAUACACAUACAUUCUACCUUGCACUCCUCCAGAUAAGCCCAAGGCUGCCAAAUUACAAAGGGAGUUUAUACCGGGAGCCCUGGUUGUCCAGAGAGGAGUCCAAUUGGAAGUUUCUUCACAAGAGGAAGCAUUGCAGGGCUAGGCCACGAGAGAGAAUGAAGAAGCAUGAUCUUCAACAUAGAUGUUGCCUGAAAUGCUGAGUAUUUACUGUAUUAUUAAGGAUCACACUGACUGAAGCAGAUCCAUGCACAACCAACAACUGCUCUGUGAGACCUUCAAGGAAUCUAACUGUAGCUUUGGCAGACAAAUGUAUUUGUUAUGGAGAUUGAGCCAAAUUGGUGACAUAAGAGCAGACAAAGACUUAAAUGUUCAAGAAUGAUUUUGGUUAUUUCCUAUAUCUUGGAAGCAUCAUCAGAAUUGGUGAGAACAUUGGCAAUGCCUGUAUUGGGAAGACUGCAAUGCUUAUUGGCAAGCCUAGAAUUCGCAUCCCAAUGUAGCAGGGCCAUCUGCAUCUACAGGUUGAAAUGUGUGUGAUUAACAAUCACUGGCUGACAUUGAACUGGCACUGAAAUUCAUUUCUCAACAUCUGGUCAACAGAACUUCUUUUUGGAUUGACAGCAAUGUAAUGUUACUGGCAAAUGCACUCACGUUGCCACUGCUUAGUAGCAAUAUGGAAUGACUUCCUCAGCUUUUGUUCAAGUUUUUGAGAUACUUUGCCAUUCCACAAUAAUUUGAGGGAAACCAGGUACUUUCCAUUUCUGAAAUUGAUAGUCUUUAGUCUGUUUAGAAGUUUUCGCAAUACAAAGUAUGCAUUGAUCUCAUCAGGAUACCUGAUAUCCCACAGAACAUUGUUGACGCACCUUAUUUCUGCAUCAUGUUUGCAAGGUGAGCAACAACAGAUAACUGAUAAGAUCAAAGUCUUGUCCAACAAUUGAAUAACAUUAUGUAUGAAUUUCAGUGCCAAUAGAUAUUAAGCAAAUAAAUCCUACAUCCUAGUGACAGGUUGAUUGAAUCAACAGUAUGUUUCUUCAGUUAUUUGUAAUGGACUGAGUACAGCCAUAAUGAAGAAAGUGGAAGCCUAAUAACAGAAUUUGUAUUGUUAUAAAUUAAUAUUUUGGAUUUGUAUCUGUUGGUUAUUGUUAGUGGUAAAUAUAUUUCUGACAUUUGCAUACCAAUAUUGUUCCAACAUUAUUGUUUGUUUUUGCAUCAUUUUGUUCAACAUGUUAAAAAAAAAAGUAAUGUUAAAUCUCUGGAUGUAGUUGUCUCCAUGUAACCCCUAGUGUAUGCUUUUAGCUUGUAGCAGAGUGAAAACUAGUUGGUUAACUUCUUGCAUUUUACCAUUUCUAGACUUCUAAAUAAUGGAAUAUACCUAUAGUUAAAAAUGAUACAUUUAAAAUUCUGAACAAUCCAAAAAUAAGAUGACUUUUAAAAAUGAUAUGUACUUUCAUUCAAAAAUAGAAAUUGCUUGAGAAACACAGCAGACCUUUAUCUAUCCCCACACCCCGGGACAUGUAAUCACAUGGGCUACUUUCAGCAUACUAGAUCUGCUGUGUUUCUCCAACAAGUUCUGUUUUUGUUUCAGAUGUCCAUCAUCUGCAGUUCUUUGUUUCACUUUAACGUAUUUCUAUUCAUCUGUUUACCACCUUAAAUAUGCACAUAUUCUAGAGGUGAUCAUCUUCUAAGGUAUGCAAAGUUUGUAGCAGUUAUGUAAGGUAUAUGAGGUUAACCGCAAAUAUCACAUAUCUAUAAAAUCUUGUCAUUUCCAGGAAUUGCACAAAAUUUGAAACCACCUUGAUUUAAAAGGUUAGGAUUUUUUUAAAAAUAAAAUGUAACCAUAACAACAACAAUGUAUAUUUAUGUAGUGACUUGAGUGUAAUGAAAUACCAAGAGACUUCACAGGAACAUUAUAAAACAAAGUGUGACACCUAGCCUUGGAGGGAGAUAUUUGGUUAGGUGAUUAAAAGUUUGGUCAGAGGUGGGUUUUGAGAAGUAUGGAAUAUUGUGUGCAGUUCUGGUAUCCCUCCUAUCAGAAGGCUGUUGUGAAACUUGAAAGGGUUCAGAAAAGAUUUACAAGGAUAUUCCAGGCUUGGAGGAUUUGUGCAAUAGAGAGAGGAUAAGCAAGCUGGGGCUGUUUUUUCCUGGAGCAUCAGGGGUGAUCUUAUAGAGGUUUAUAAAAUCAUGAGAGG